UGAUGAUGCUUUGCCAAGUUAUCAAACCUCUCAAAUAAUCACAAAUACAGAGAAUUUCGAUUUGUCUGUUGAUAGUCCCUUUGGCUUAGACUUCAGCGCUAUACCGGAUUUUAAUAAUAUUUUGGAAUUGGCGCCAGAUUAUGCCACAAAAAUGGAUGAUGCGACGGCUGAUGGUAUUCUACGGGAUAUAUUGAACAAACCUGAUUAUUGUCACAACACCUCUAUACAGAACAGCAAUGUUGUUGAUGAGCAACCGUUUUUCCCACACGCGACAGGGGGUCGUGCUAAAACAUUCGAAUAUAAAGCAGGUGUGUAAUCAAGCACUGUUAUAUGGUAUA